AAUUGAAUAAUUUUCACAGGUUUUAGGGAAUCCGGUGCGAAUCCGGAGCUGUCCUCGCAACUGUAAAUGUAACGAAACGAUAAAAUCCACUGUGGUGAAAGUUCGCCACGGGAAGGUAUCUGAGUAGGAUGACAUAAGCCAGUAAACCUGUCUGUGAAGGAUUCAUUGC
rnacentral:ncRNA from 1 species